rnacentral:rRNA from 1 species
UACAGAGGUCUCAAGCGUUGUUCGGAUUCAUUGGGCGUAAAGGGUGCGUAGGCGGCGCGGUAAGUCGGGUGUGAAAGUCUCGGGGCUUAACUCCGAAACUGCAUUCGAUACUGCCGUGCUUGAGGACUGGAGAGGAGACUGGAAUUUACGGUGUAGCGGUGAAAUGCGUAGAUAUCGAUAAGGAAGACCAGUGGCGAAGGCGGGAUCGUCCGUG